UACGUAGGGGGCAAGCGUUGUCCGGAAUCAUUGGGCGUAAAGCGCGUGUAGGCGGCCUUGUAAGUCCGUUCUGAAAGCCCGGGGCUCAACCCCGGGAGGCGGAUGGAUACUGCAAGGCUCGAGUACGGAAGAGGCGAGUGGAAUUCCCGGUGUAGCGGUGAAAUGCGCAGAUAUCGGGAGGAACACCACUGGCGAAGGCAGCUCGCUGGGACGUUACUGACGCUGAGACGCGAAAGCGUGGGGAGCAAACAGG
rnacentral:rRNA from 1 species